rnacentral:sRNA from 1 species
CUUCAUCCAUGUCAUGA